rnacentral:sRNA from 1 species
GGCGGACCACCGCCUAAUCGCGUUGUCGCGAGCCGGGGAACCGAGUACCUGGGGUGCAGCCACUGAGUGGCCGGGCAGACUUCCCGCCCGAACCCGUCAGCUAACCCGGUCGGCGGCUGAACGGGAAGAA